UACGUAGGGUGCGAGCGUUGUCCGGAAUUAUUGGGCGUAAAGAGCUCGUAGGCGGUUUGUCACGUCUGCUGUGAAAUCCCGAGGCUCAACCUCGGGCCUGCAGUGGGUACGGGCAGACUGGAGUGCGGUAGGGGAGAAUGGAAUUCCCGGUGUAGCGGUGAAAUGCGCAGAUAUCAGGAGGAACACCCGUGGCGAAGGCGAAUCUCUGGACCGGUUCUGACGCUGAGGAGCGAAAGCUAGGGGAGCAAACAGG
rnacentral:rRNA from 1 species